rnacentral:rRNA from 1 species
AACGAACGCUGGCGGCAUGCCUAACACAUGCAAGUCGAACGAGACCUUCGGGUCUAUUGGCGCACGGGUGCGUAACGCGAGGGAACCUGCCCUUAGGUUCGGAAUAACUCUCCGAAAGGGGUGCUAAUACGGGAUAAUAUCUUCUGACCAAAGAUUUAUCGCCUUUGGAUGGGCCCGCGUUGGAUUAGCUAGUUGGUAGGGUAAAAGCCUACCAAGGCGUCGAUCCAUAGCUGGUCUGUGAGAAUGAUCAGCCACACUGAGACUGGGACACGGCCCAGACUCCUACGGGAGGCAGGAGUGGGGAAUAUUGGACAAUGGGCGAAAGCCUGAUGCAGUUAGGCCGCGUGAGUGAUGAAGGCCUGAGGGUUGUAAAGCUCUUUUAACCGGGAUGAUAAUGACGGUACCGGGAGAAUAAGCUCCGGCUAACUCCGUG